UAUGGUGUGUGCCAGCCGCCGCGGUAAUACGUAGGGGGCAAGCGUUAUCCGGAUUUACUGGGUGUAAAGGGAGCGUAGACGGCAAGGCAAGUCUGAUGUGAAAACCCAGGGCUUAACCCUGGGACUGCAUUGGAAACUGUCUGGCUCGAGUGCCGGAGAGGUAAGCGGAAUUCCUAGUGUAGCGGUGAAAUGCGUAGAUAUUAGGAAGAACACCAGUGGCGAAGGCGGCUUACUGGACGGUAACUGACGUUGAGGCUCGAAAGCGUGGGGAGCAAACAGG
rnacentral:rRNA from 1 species